rnacentral:tRNA from 1 species
GGCUCUGUGGCACAAUGGAUAGUGCAUUGGACUUCUAAUUCAAAGGUUGUGGGUUCGAGUCCCACCAGAGCUG